rnacentral:rRNA from 1 species
GGUUAAGCGACUAAGCGUACACGGUGGAUGCCCUGGCAGUCAGAGGCGAUGAAGGACGUGCUAAUCUGCGAUAAGCGUCGGUAAGGUGAUAUGAACCGUUAUAACCGGCGAUUUCCGAAUGGGGAAACCCAGUGUGUUUCGACACACUAUCAUUAACUGAAUCCAUAGGUUAAUGAGGCGAACCGGGGGAACUGAAACAUCUAAGUACCCCGAGGAAAAGAAAUCAACCGAGAUUCCCCCAGUAGCGGCGAGCGAACGGGGAGGAGCCCAGAGCCUGAAUCAGUGUGUGUGUUAGUGGAAGCGUCUGGAAAGGCGCGCGAUACAGGGUGACAGCCCCGUACACAAAAAUGCACAUGCUGUGAGCUCGAUGAGUAGGGCGGGACACGUGGUAUCCUGUCUGAAUAUGGGGGGACCAUCCUCCAAGGCUAAAUACUCCUGACUGACCGAUAGUGAACCAGUACCGUGAGGGAAAGGCGAAAAGAACCCCGGCGAGGGGAGUGAAAAAGAACCUGAAACCGUGUACGUACAAGCAGUGGGAGCACGCUUAGGCGUGUGACUGCGUACCUUUUGUAUAAUGGGUCAGCGACUUAUAUUCUGUAGCAAGGUUAACCGAAUAGGGGAGCCGAAGGGAAACCGAGUCUUAACUGGGCGUUAAGUUGCAGGGUAUAGACCCGAAACCCGGUGAUCUAGCCAUGGGCAGGUUGAAGGUUGGGUAACACUAACUGGAGGACCGAACCGACUAAUGUUGAAAAAUUAGCGGAUGACUUGUGGCUGGGGGUGAAAGGCCAAUCAAACCGGGAGAUAGCUGGUUCUCCCCGAAAGCUAUUUAGGUAGCGCCUCGUGAACUCAUCUCCGGGGGUAGAGCACUGUUUCGGCAAGGGGGUCAUCCCGACUUACCAACCCGAUGCAAACUGCGAAUACCGGAGAAUGUUAUCACGGGAGACACACGGCGGGUGCUAACGUCCGUCGUGAAGAGGGAAACAACCCAGACCGCCAGCUAAGGUCCCAAAGUCAUGGUUAAGUGGGAAACGAUGUGGGAAGGCCCAGACAGCCAGGAUGUUGGCUUAGAAGCAGCCAUCAUUUAAAGAAAGCGUAAUAGCUCACUGGUCGAGUCGGCCUGCGCGGAAGAUGUAACGGGGCUAAACCAUGCACCGAAGCUGCGGCAGCGACGCUUAUGCGUUGUUGGGUAGGGGAGCGUUCUGUAAGCCUGUGAAGGUGUGCUGUGAGGCAUGCUGGAGGUAUCAGAAGUGCGAAUGCUGACAUAAGUAACGAUAAAGCGGGUGAAAAGCCCGCUCGCCGGAAGACCAAGGGUUCCUGUCCAACGUUAAUCGGGGCAGGGUGAGUCGACCCCUAAGGCGAGGCCGAAAGGCGUAGUCGAUGGGAAACAGGUUAAUAUUCCUGUACUUGGUGUUACUGCGAAGGGGGGACGGAGAAGGCUAUGUUGGCCGGGCGACGGUUGUCCCGGUUUAAGCGUGUAGGCUGGUUUUCCAGGCAAAUCCGGAAAAUCAAGGCUGAGGCGUGAUGACGAGGCACUACGGUGCUGAAGCAACAAAUGCCCUGCUUCCAGGAAAAGCCUCUAAGCAUCAGGUAACAUCAAAUCGUACCCCAAACCGACACAGGUGGUCAGGUAGAGAAUACCAAGGCGCUUGAGAGAACUCGGGUGAAGGAACUAGGCAAAAUGGUGCCGUAACUUCGGGAGAAGGCACGCUGAUAUGUAGGUGAAGCGACUUGCUCGUGGAGCUGAAAUCAGUCGAAGAUACCAGCUGGCUGCAACUGUUUAUUAAAAACACAGCACUGUGCAAACACGAAAGUGGACGUAUACGGUGUGACGCCUGCCCGGUGCCGGAAGGUUAAUUGAUGGGGUCAGCGCAAGCGAAGCUCUUGAUCGAAGCCCCGGUAAACGGCGGCCGUAACUAUAACGGUCCUAAGGUAGCGAAAUUCCUUGUCGGGUAAGUUCCGACCUGCACGAAUGGCGUAAUGAUGGCCAGGCUGUCUCCACCCGAGACUCAGUGAAAUUGAACUCGCUGUGAAGAUGCAGUGUACCCGCGGCAAGACGGAAAGACCCCGUGAACCUUUACUAUAGCUUGACACUGAACAUUGAGCCUUGAUGUGUAGGAUAGGUGGGAGGCUUUGAAGUGUGGACGCCAGUCUGCAUGGAGCCGACCUUGAAAUACCACCCUUUAAUGUUUGAUGUUCUAACGUUGACCCGUAAUCCGGGUUGCGGACAGUGUCUGGUGGGUAGUUUGACUGGGGCGGUCUCCUCCUAAAGAGUAACGGAGGAGCACGAAGGUUGGCUAAUCCUGGUCGGACAUCAGGAGGUUAGUGCAAUGGCAUAAGCCAGCUUGACUGCGAGCGUGACGGCGCGAGCAGGUGCGAAAGCAGGUCAUAGUGAUCCGGUGGUUCUGAAUGGAAGGGCCAUCGCUCAACGGAUAAAAGGUACUCCGGGGAUAACAGGCUGAUACCGCCCAAGAGUUCAUAUCGACGGCGGUGUUUGGCACCUCGAUGUCGGCUCAUCACAUCCUGGGGCUGAAGUAGGUCCCAAGGGUAUGGCUGUUCGCCAUUUAAAGUGGUACGCGAGCUGGGUUUAGAACGUCGUGAGACAGUUCGGUCCCUAUCUGCCGUGGGCGCUGGAGAACUGAGGGGGGCUGCUCCUAGUACGAGAGGACCGGAGUGGACGCAUCACUGGUGUUCGGGUUGUCAUGCCAAUGGCACUGCCCGGUAGCUAAAUGCGGAAGAGAUAAGUGCUGAAAGCAUCUAAGCACGAAACUUGCCCCGAGAUGAGUUCUCCCUGACUCCUUGAGAGUCCUGAAGGAACGUUGAAGACGACGACGUUGAUAGGCCGGGUGUGUAAGCGCAGCGAUGCGUUGAGCUAACCGGUACUAAUGAACCGUGAGGCUUAACCUUACAACGCCGAAGAUGUUUUG